CGGUAAGGCAGUAACAGAUUGUUGUUAAUUAUGUGUUCUUUGUAUCUGCCUUGGAGAGAUCCAUACAUGUUCUGUAUGAAGUCAGCAGGACGCAGGUACUUCUUCUUUUUAAGGAUGCUGUGUUUAACAAUCCAAAACCACUGUUCCACAUGACAGUUACUUUCCCUUGUUUUGGAUUGUUGGCUGACUGUAGCUGUGCUGAUUUCAGAAAACCGGCUAAGAUCCCCAAGAAGAACUCCACUCCACAGCGGGAAGAUACUCAUGUAGUUGUUCAUGAGGAAGUCGAUGAGCUCUGGACAGAAAAAGAUCCAGGGCAGUUUUGGCUGCAUUCACCACGUCGGUCUCCUCUUCUGAUGUGA
rnacentral:lncRNA from 1 species